UCCGGUUGAUCCUGCCGGACCCGACUGCUAUUUGGGUGAGGAUAAGCCAUGCAAGUUGAAUGGGAUGCCUAAAUUUCCCAUAGCAAACUGCUCAGUAACACAUGAUCAACUUUCCCUAUGGAGAAAAAUAACCUCGGGAAACUGAGGAUAAUGUUUCAUAGUUGAAUAGGCUUGGAAAAGUUUUUCAAUGAAAGGGAAAAGAAAAAUGGUUCUUUUUUGCCAUAGGAUAGGAUCGUGGUCGAUUAUGGUAGUUGGUGAGGUAAUGGCUCACCAAGCCGAUAAUCGAUAGGGGCCGUGAGAGCGGGAGCCCCGAGAUGGGUACUGAGACAACGACCCAGGCCUUACGAGGCGCAGCAGGCGCGAAACCUCCGCAAUACACGAAAGUGUGACGGGGUUACCCAAAGUGUUCAAUUUUGAACUGUGGUAGGUGAGUAAUGUUCCCUACUAGAAAGGAGAGGGCAAGGCUGGUGCCAGCCGCCGCGGUAAAACCAGCUCUUCAAGUGGUCGGGAUAAUUAUUGGGCUUAAAGUGUCCGUAGCCGGUUUGGUAAGUUCCUGGUAAAAUCGGGUAGCUUAACUAUCUAUAUGCUAGGAAUACUGCUAUACUAGAGGGCGGGAGAGGUCUGAGGUACUACAGGGGUAGGGGUGAAAUCUUAUAAUCCUUGUAGGACCACCAGUGGCGAAGGCGUCAGACUGGAACGCGCCUGACGGUGAGGGACGAAAGCCAGGGGAGCGAACCGGAUUAGAUACCCGGGUAGUCCUGGCCGUAAACGAUGCAUACUAGGUGAUGGCACGGCCAUGAGCCGUGUCAGUGCCGUAGGGAAACCGUUAAGUGUGCCGCCUGGGAAGUACGGUCGCAAGGCUAAAACUUAAAGGAAUUGGCGGGGGAGCACA
rnacentral:rRNA from 1 species